rnacentral:rRNA from 1 species
UACGAAGGGUGCAAGCGUUACUCGGAAUUACUGGGCGUAAAGCGUGCGCAGGCGGUUAUAUAAGACAGAUGUGAAAUCCCCGGGCUCAACCUGGGAACUGCGUUUGUGACUGUAUGACUAGAGUGCGGUAGAGGGUGGUGGAAUUCCCGGUGUAGCAGUGAAAUGCGUAGAGAUCGGGAGGAACAUCUGUGGCGAAGGCGGCCACCUGGACCAACACUGACACUGAGGCACGAAAGCGUGGGGAGCAAACAGG